UUCUUUCCUAACUCAUCUAUCGCCUUCCCUUUCUCAAUUUCUAGCUUUUUAUUAUUUUAUUUUCACCGUAAAAACCCUACCUCCGUUUAAGUAUUUUUACUCCAGAUCACCGCUACCCUUUCCGAUUGAUCUGAGACCCAUAACUCAUGUCAGGGCUCUGCCCGACUAAGUUCGUUGGGAUUCGAUCUCAGGACAUCGGGACAAGGUUUAAUUAGGGUACUAUACUUACCACGAGGGCAUUAUAUAUUUUUAAUAGCCCAAAAGUUAUACCCAAAAUUUAUACCAUGAGAUUUUCUAAUUGAACCCUAAAGUUAUAAGGUGUGUCCAUUCUCUUUUUCUCACCAUUUUAUUCCUUUUUAUCCCAAACCAUAACAACUCUCACCAAAACUAUUAUUUAUUAUUCUAUUUUGUAAACAACUCUCAUCAAAAGUCAUAUCUAUUAUUUUAUUUGCCCAAUAGGAAACCCUAAUUGAGACACCCAAAUAAUCCUGCACAACUCCUAAAAUUUUCAGAAUCCUCAGAAUCAGGAUCAGGGCCCCUAAAACUCAAGGGGGGUAAACCUUAAUUGACGAUUAUCUUCAAAACUCGUUGUCCAAAUUUAAAUUUCGUUCGACGUCGACUCAGCAGGGCUACCCAGGUGACAAGCCUACUCUAGGCUAGGGGGACUUGCCCCGCGACACGCGGCAAGUGCCGAGAAUUCUUCCGCGACUCGCGGGAGGCUCCAAAAGUGGGUAUAAAUAGGGGGCCUAGUAUUUGAAAUCUGGUGCUAGUUCGACGUAAAAUUUCGAAAUAUACGUUGAGUUAUACGUUUAUUACUACAAACACACACUAGCUCGAAUUCUGCUACGAUACAGGGUAUUAACUUAAUCGCUGCUACGAUUCAAUAUCCGAUCGACUGAAACUAUUCGACAGAAUGUUUAAGUGUUAUCCUUUGUCAUUAAUCGUGAUUCCGACAGGAUGUUUGAGUGCCGCCCAAACUCGGGGUAGACUCUGUCAUGCGUUGUGAAUCCGAUGGAUGUUUAAGUGAUUGCACUUUGUCAUUCUUCGUGAGGGUUUUAAUCUCGUGAAUUUAUCGUAAAUGCUGUAUUAGUUAUUUACCUAGUUUCGGAUGCAUUAUCACUUAAAUUAGGUUAUCAGGCUUGUCCAUAGGUUAAACUCUACCCCAUACACUUACAAUCAAAGUAGAUGCUAAUUCGCAGAAGAAUCUGAAUCAUGAAGCUUGUUAAUUCAAUACUGCAUGUUUAUAAUGUAAUUACAGUAGAUUGGAGUAAGAGUUGGAUCCGGCACUGAAGGGCUUCAAGAAGUGGCUUAUUUUAUUAAUUAAAUCAAAUUAAGAAAUAUUGUUUUAUGUAAAUGGGUUUAUCCCUUAUUAAAGCUACCUUUGUAAAACAUGGGUUUAUCCCAUCUAUUUAAUAAAUAAAAUCCGGUGUUUUCUAAACUCUGAUAUUUUUCCUAACUCUAUGCCAAAUUCUCCAAGUGCGAAUUCUGGCUACGAGAAGUCCAAUUUCUAGGACACGUUGUCAGCGAACGUGGUAUCCAGGUGGAUCCCGCUAAAGUUGAAGCUGUCAUGAAUUGGCAAGAGCUAAAGACGCCUACAUAAAUUCGUAGUUUCCUGGGGUUAGCAGGAUAUUACAGGCGAUUCAUUGAAAACUUUUCAAGGAUUGCUGCGCCCUUAACUUCCCUGACCAAGAAGAAGAUAAACUUUGUUUGGGGCCCUAAUCAGCAAGAGUCCUUUGAUAUUCUGAAACAAAAGCUGAGCAACGCUCCUGUGCUGACAUUACCUGAAGGUACCGAAGAGUUCGUAGUUUACUGCGACGCAUCACACACUGGCAUGGGAUGUGUGCUCAUGCAGAAAGGCAAAGUUAUUGCCUAUGCUUCGAGACAGUUAAAGGUGCAUGAGAAGAAUUACACCACCCAUGACUUGGAGCUGGGUGCCGUUGUGUUCGCACUAAAACUGUGGAGGCAUUGUCUGUAUGGUAUCAAGUUUGUAAUCUACUCGGAUCAUAAGAGCCUUCAACAUCUGUUUAAUCAGAAGGAGCUAAACAUGAGGCAACGCCGUUGGAUGGAGACUUUAAAUGAUUAUGAUUAUGAAAUCAGAUAUCAUCCCGGCAAGGCGAAUGUAGUCGCUGAUGCCUUGAGUAGAAAGGAAAGGGUGAAACCCAUCCGAAUCAAUGCCAAGAGCAUUGAAGUGAAGAAUAAUUUGAUUGAAAGGUUGUUAGCUACACAGCAAGAAGCUGUGUUGGAAGCUAACUAUCCUAAAGAGAAGCUGGGAGUAACUGAGGAGCAGUUAACUCUUAGCAAGGACGGAAUCUUACGAUUAAAUGGACGAAUAUGGGUUCCAAUUUAUGGAGGACUACGAGAUGUUAUCCUCCAGGAAGCCCAUAGUUCCAAAUAUUCUGUUCACCCGGGAGCUGAUAAGAUGUAUCAGGAUCUAAAGGUAAAUUAUUGGUGGAUAGGCUUGAAAAAGUCUGUAGCCGCUUAUGUAGCCAAAUGCUUGACUUGUGCGCAAGUCAAAGCUGAGCAUCAAAAGCCAUCAGGCUUGCUACAACAGCCUGAACUUCCCGAAUGGAAGUGGGAAUGUGUAACUAUGGAUUUUAUUACCAAGUUACC
rnacentral:lncRNA from 1 species